rnacentral:rRNA from 1 species
UACGUAGGUGGCAAGCGUUGUCCGGAUUUAUUGGGUUUAAAGGGUGCGUAGGCGGUCUUUUAAGUCAGUGCUGAAAUACUCCAGCUUAACUGGAGGGGUGGCAUUGAUACUGGAAGACUUGAGUGUAGUCGAGGUAGGCGGAAUUGACGGUGUAGCGGUGAAAUGCUUAGAUAUCGUCAAGAACACCGAUAGUGAAGACAGCUUACUAGGCUACAACUGACGCUGAGGCACGAAGGUCAGGGGAGCAAACGGG